AGUCAACGCUGGCGGCGUGCCUAACACAUGCAAGUCGAACGAGAAGGUGACUUCGGUCACUGGAUAGUGGCGUCCGGGUGAGUAACACGUAGGUAAUCUACCUUCGGGUGGGGAAUAACGUCUCGAAAGAGACGCUAAUACCGCAUAAUGCAGCGGCACCUAAUGGUGAUUAGUUGUUAAAGCGGGGGAUCUUCGGACCUCGCGCCUGAAGAGGAGCCUGCGGCAGAUUAGCUAGUUGGUGAGGUAAUGGCUCACCAAGGCUUCGAUCUGUAGCUGGUCUGAGAGGACGGCCAGCCACACUGGCACUGACACACGGGCCAGACUCCUACGGGAGGCAGCAGUGGGGAAUUUUGGGCAAUGGGCGAAAGCCUGACCCAGCAACGCCGCGUGAAGGAGGAAAAUCCUUCGGGAUGUAAAACUUCACAAGCAAGGGAAGAGCGCGCAGGGUCGAAUAAACUCUGCGUCCGACGGUACC
rnacentral:rRNA from 1 species